rnacentral:rRNA from 1 species
UACGUAGGGGGCAAGCGUUGUCCGGAAUCAUUGGGCGUAAAGCGCGCGUAGGCGGCCCGGUAAGUCCGCUGUGAAAGUCGGGGGCUCAACCCUCGGAUGCCGGUGGAUACUGUCGGGCUUGAGUGCGGAAGAGGCGAGUGGAAUUCCUGGUGUAGCGGUGAAAUGCGCAGAUAUCAGGAGGAACACCAAUUGCGAAGGCAGCUCGCUGGGACGUUACUGACGCUGAUGCGCGAAAGCGUGGGGAGCAAGCAGG